rnacentral:rRNA from 1 species
GUGUCAGCCGCCGCGGUAAUACGGAGGGGGCUAGCGUUGUUCGGAAUUACUGGGCGUAAAGGGCGCGUAGGCGGUGCGGUAAGUUAGGCGUGAAAGGCCCGGGCUCAACCCGGGAACUGCGCUUAAGACUGCCGCGCUGUGAGUCCGGGAGAGGAUGGCGGAAUUCCCAGUGUAGAGGUGAAAUUCGUAGAUAUUGGGAAGAACACCAGUGGCGAAGGCGGCCAUCUGGCCCGGUACUGACGCUGAGGCGCGAAAGCGUGGGGAGCAAACAGGAUUAGAUACCCCCGUAGUCC